AUCUCGCAUCUGAGUGAAAAUCAAGGAUGGGAUAUUCAGAAUCUAUCCCUGAACUGUGCAAACCAUAAUCCCAAUAACUCGAUCGAGGAUGAAGUCAAAAUGACCAGUCUUGGGGAAAAUGAUCCUUGCUACCUUAUGGUGAAUGAGCCUCAUUUUCAGAGAAAGUUUCUUUGCAAAAAGCUCUAUGAUGUCACCCAUAUAUUCUCUCCCUAAAAUGACCUUCUAUGCCUUUGGCUUGUCGA
rnacentral:lncRNA from 1 species